AUUGAACGCUGGCGGCAGGCUUAACACAUGCAAGUCGAGCGAGCGGCGGACGGGUGAGUAAUGUCUGGGAAACUGCCUGAUGGAGGGGGAUAACUACUGUAAACGGUAGCUAAUACCGCAUACCAUCAGAUGUGCCCAGAUGGGAGUAGCUAGUAGGUGGGGUAAUGGCUCAUCUAGGGGACGAUUCCUAGCUGGUCUGAGAGGAUGAACAGCCACACUGGAACUGAGACACGGUCCAGACUCCUACGGUAGGCAGCAGUGGGGAAUAUUGCACAAUGGGCUCAAGCCUGAUGCAGCCAUGCCUCGUGUGUGAAGAAGGCCUUCGGGUUGUAAAGCACUUUCAGCGAGGAGGCGUUACUCGAAGAAGAAGCACCGGCUAACUCCGUGCCAGCCGCCGCGGUAAUUC
rnacentral:rRNA from 1 species